rnacentral:rRNA from 1 species
AUUGAACGCUGGCGGCAGGCCUAACACAUGCAAGUCGAGCGGAUGAAGGGAGCUUGCUCCUGGAUUCAGCGGCGGACGGGUGAGUAAUGCCUAGGAAUCUGCCUGGUCGUGGGGGAUAACGUCCGGAAACGGGCGCUAAUAUCGCAUACGUCCUGAGGGAGAAAGUGGGGGAUCUUCGGACCUCACGCUAUCAGAUGAGCCUAGGUCGGAUUAGCUAGUUGGUGGGGUAAAGGCCUACCAAGGCGACGAUCCGUAACUGGUCUGAGAGGAUGAUCAGUCACACUGGAACUGAGACACGGUCCAGACUCCUACGGGAGGCAGCGGUGGGAAAUAUUGGACAAGGGGCGAAAGCCUGAUCCAGCCAUGCGGCGUGUGUGAGGAAGGUCUUCGGAUUGUAAAGCACUUUAGGUUGGGAGGAAGGACAGUAAGUUAAUACCUUGCUGUUUUGACGUAACCAACAGAAUAGGCACCGGCUAACUUCGU